rnacentral:rRNA from 1 species
UGAGGAAUAUUGGACAAUGGGCGCAAGCCUGAUCCAGCCAUGCCGCGUGCAGGAAGAAGCAUCUAUGGUGUGUAAACUGCUUUUAUACAGGAAGAAACAACUCUACGUGUAGAGUCUUGACGGUACUGUAAGAAUAAGGACCGGCUAACUCCGUGCCAGCAGCCGCGGUAAUACGGAGGGUCCAAGCGUUAUCCGGAAUCAUUGGGUUUAAAGGGUCCGUAGGCGGUUUGGUAAGUCAGUGGUGAAAGCCCAUCGCUCAACGAUGGAACGGCCAUUGAUACUGCUAGACUUGAAUUAUUGUGAAGUAACUAGAAUAUGUAGUGUAGCGGUGAAAUGCUUAGAUAUUACAUGGAAUACCAAUUGCGAAGGCAGGUUACUAACAAUAUAUUGACGCUGAUGGACGAAAGCGUGGGGAGCGAACA